rnacentral:lncRNA from 1 species
AUAUAGAGAGAGAGAGAGAGAGAGAGAGAGAGAGAGAGUUGGUUUAGAAUAUUAUUGAUAACAAAAUAUUUUUUUGCUAUCAAAUUUUUAGUUUUUGAAUCAAUUUCUUUCAUCAUUUUUAACUAUUGGAUUAAAUAUUAUAAUCAAGUGAGGAUCACUCAAUCCUAGAGUAGCGUUUGGUUCGGGAACAAGGGGGGAAAUAAGUCAUUGUUCUCCCCCUUUGUUUCCAAAUGUGAUGUUUGGUAUUCUGGAACAGUAGUUCCAGAGUUUUAAGAACAAGUUGAACUUGUUUCUUGACGAGAACAAUGUUAAUUAAAAUCUAAAUUUAAUUUUAAUGAUAGUAAAUUAUUAAUUAAUCUAAUUAAUAUAUUUAAAUUAUUAUUUAUUAUUUUAAUAAAUAAUAAUAAUUUACUAUUCUCAUGAGUCCGGUUAUGGUGCUUGUAAAAGCACUAAAUACUUGGUACUUAUAAAUUUUUUACUGUUAAAUUUACUCCUCUGACCAUUUUCAACCGUUUGAUUAUAUUAUUCAACCAACCACCUACUCAACCCUAAGGGGUCCAGAUCAUUCUAGCCGCAUAUUUCUUAAUUGAAUGGUUAAAAAUCUACGAGUACUAAUAAUUUGGUACUUUUAAAAAUAUAGAAGCUCAAUUCCUAUUUCUCAUAUUAUUAAUAAUAUUUGUGUCUCUAUAUUUAUAUAUGUAUGUACGUGUGUGUGUGUGUAUAUAUAUAUGUAUGGAUGCUUAAGAUAUAAAAUAGAGAUGGG